GUCUUCGUGGUGUAAUCGAAAAGCACGUCCGGCUGGCAAUCGGAAGGUCCAGAUCUCGAAUCCUAGUGAGGGCA
rnacentral:tRNA from 1 species